rnacentral:rRNA from 1 species
AACGAACGCUGGCGGCAUGCCUAACACAUGCAAGUCGAACGAGACCUUCGGGUCUAGUGGCGCACGGGUGCGUAACGCGUGGGAACCUGCCCUGAGGUUCGGAAUAACACAGAGAAAUUUGUGCUAAUACCGGAUAAUGUCUGCGGACCAAAGAUUUAUCGCCUUUGGAUGGGCCCGCGUAGGAUCAGCUAGUUGGUGAGGUAAAGGCUCACCAAGGCGACGAUCAUUAGCUGGUCUUAGAGGAUGAUCAGCCACACUGGGACUGAGACACGGCCCAGACUCCUACGGGAGGCAGCAGUGGGGAAUAUUGGACAAUGGGCGAAAGCCUGAUCCAGCAAUGCCGCGUGAGUGAUGAAGGCCUUAGGGUUGUAAAGCUCUUUUACCUGGGAUGAUAAUGACAGUACCAGGAGAAUAAGCCCCGGCUAACUCCGUGCCAGCCGCCGCAGUAAGAC